CAUGUCNUUUUGAUUUUAAUUUAAGGUNUAAUCUGCUCAAUCAUUUUUUAAAUUGCCGCGGUAUUUUGACUGUGCUAAGGUAGCGUAAUCAUUAGUUUUUUUAUUGAAAGCUGGAAUGAAUGAUUGGACAAGAAAAUUGCUGUCUCUAUUAAAUUUUUUAUUGAAUUUAACUUUUAAGUAAAAAGGCUUAAAUAUUAAUUAAAGACGAGAAGACCCUAUAGAGUUUAAUAAUUAAUUAGUUUAUAUAUUUGUAUUUAAUUUCUUAAUUAUUUGGUUGGGGUGACUAGAAGAUUAAAUAAACUCUUUUAAGUUUAAUCAUUGAUUUAUGAAUAAUUAAUCUAAAAUUUUAAUUUUAAUAUAAAUUACCUUAGGGAUAACAGCGUAAUUUUUUAUAAAGUUCUUAUUAAAGAAAAAGAUUGCGACCUCGAUGUUGGAUUAAAAUUAUUUUGGGUGUAGAAGCUUAAAUGUUGGGUCUGUUCGACCUUUAAAAUU
rnacentral:rRNA from 1 species